rnacentral:lncRNA from 1 species
ACUUGGCGCCUUACAAUCUUCCCCUUUUUUUCUUAGUUAAUUUUUUUUUCCAUUUUUUUCUUGUUAAUUAGUAAUUCUAAACUUUUUUGUUAUCAAUAAAAACGAAUAGGUAAUAAUAAGAAAGGAAAUAUUUCAUUAAUUAAAACAGGAUAACAAAUAACUAUUCCACAUUUUCAAAAUUAUGACUCCACUCAAAUUCAAUAGUAU